GACGAACCGUGCGAACGUUGUUCGGAAUCACUGGGCUUAAAGGGCGCGUAGGCGGGUUAGCAAGUCCGGGGUGAAAUCUUUCGGCUCAACCGGAAAAGUGCCUUGGAUACUGCUGACCUGGAGUGAGGUAGGGGCCGCGGGAACUUCCGGUGGAGCGGUGAAAUGCGUUGAUAUCGGAAGGAACGCCGGUGGCGAAAGCGCGCGGCUGGCCCUCAACUGACGCUGAGGCGCGAAAGCUAGGGGAGCAAACGG
rnacentral:rRNA from 1 species